UUGGGCACUCUAGAGAGACUGCCGUCGACAAGACGGAGGAAGGCGGGGAUGACGUCAAAUCAUCAUGCCCCUUAUGACCUGGGCUACACACGUGCUACAAUGGCUGGUACAACGGGAAGCUAGCUCGCGAGAGUAUGCCAAUCUCUUAAAACCAGUCUCAGUUCGGAUUGCAGGCUGCAACUCGCCUGCAUGAAGUCGGAAUCGCUAGUAAUCGCGGAUCAGCAUGCCGCGGUGAAUACGUUCCCGGGCCUUGUACACACCGCCCGUCACACCACGGGAGUUUGCAACACCCGAAGUCGGUGAGGUAACCGCAAGGAGCCAGCCGCCGAAGGUGGGGUAGAUGACUGGGGUGAAGUCGUAACAAGGUAUCCGUACCGGAAGGUGC
rnacentral:rRNA from 1 species